rnacentral:lncRNA from 1 species
GAAAUAAAGGGACACAUUUGGGAGAUAAGCUCAGCUGACUUGGGAAAACCAUUUCGACUCUCUGAGUGUUAGCUUCCCGGCUAUCAAAUCGCUGGUAAAAAUGUUCAUUCCUCAACCCCCUCUAGUUCUAAGGAAAAAAAAAAAUCAUGGCUUUAUGACUUUUUCAAAUCCCUAGCAGCUAACACUAAAAGAUCCUUUGGUUAAUACUCAGGGACCAAAGUCACCUAGGAAAUCUUAACCAUGAGUCAAAGCUUGGGAGGGUCAGCUGAGGGUAAAUCCAGUGAGUCGUGGCCUUGCACUCCCUUGCCCCAUAAGUGGUCCCUACAGGGCAGGGAUGUUUGGGGGUAUCUAGACUCUCCCUAACCUCAGCCAACUCAUCACUCCUUUCCAGAACUUCUGGUGCUGGUGGCCACCUGGGAUCUACCUCUAAGUUCCUGCUGCCAGACUGGCCCAUGGAACAUUCUCCCUGUGAUGGCUGUCCUGGCUGCCCAACUAGAAGAACGCAGGUCUAUGGGAAGUCAGAGGCUGUGUUUAUUCGCCCGGAUCUCAUCUCACACGGUGCCGGGCACACGAGGAGUAUUGAGUGCCUGUAUGCUAAAUACAUGAGUGCCUCGAAACCACCACCCUCUCAAUCACUUUACAGAGGAAGAAGCUGGAGUCCACAGAGCUUCUUCCAAUCCAGGCUGAGAAAGGGGCCCGUGAAGUGCUUCUGGGAUGAGGACUUGGGUCUCGUUCAAGAACAAGAGCACACACGUCUCUGGGUCUGCGCCUAACACUACUGCGUAUGGCUCCAGGCCAAAUCUCCAAAUGAAAUCAGGCCGGGGAGAAAUGAACAACCGAGAUGCACAAAACAAUGUGAAGAAGAAACGAAUAAUAAUAUAAAAAAAAAGGUGAGAGUUAUUUUUCAGCUCACUGGCUUUCUGAAAAGUAAUAUAAAGUUGAGCAGCGUCUUCUUGGAAUCGACCUUUCUGAGCCGAGACCCAGGCCACACGCACGUCUCUUUCCUCUCUUUCUAUUACCCGAAAUUUGUAUGGUUUCAUCUCCUCUGAUUUUCUUUCCCUUUGUGCGCCUGUGCAAACCCCUUGUGUCAGGGGCUUGUUCCUAACCCUGCAGCCCUGCCAUGCCGGAAUGUGUCUCCCGGGCCCCCCGCAGGGCUGAGAAUUGAGAGCCUCCUCUACAGCUCCCCCACCAAAGUUGAGGCCUUGCCCCCCACCCAGCUCUGUCCUCCUCCCUGCCCAGAAGAGGCUGCAGCCUUCCCCCUCCCCGCCUCCCCCACAACGGCCUCCUGGCCUUCUUUGUUCCAGAGACAGUUCUCUUGCACACUGUUCUUUGAAGCAGAGCUGGAAAGGGAAGGGUGGAUGGACCCAGGGGUGCAGGCUCCUGGUGCAGGGAGGGCCGGACGAUGCUUGGUGAGCGUACGAGAGAGCAGGUGAAUCC